AUCUUGUUAAAAUGCAGAGAAGGACUCAGCAGGUCUGGGAUUGGGUCUGAGAUACCGCAUUUUUAACAAGUUC
rnacentral:miRNA from 1 species